rnacentral:lncRNA from 1 species
UCAAAUUAUAAUAUAAUUUCUCAAUUACAUUAUGACUUUAACUGAUUAGGAUUAAUAUUUCCUAAUUAAUAUUGCUAGUUUAGCAAUUAAUUCCAUAACUGUACAUUAGGGUUCCUAACAGAACAAUUAGGGUUCAAAAAUUCUAAAAUUAGGGUUUGCUAAUUAAUUAAGCGUUACCCUAAUUAAUAUUAUAAUUAAUAGCACUUAAGCAUUAUACUUAUCCGAUCAUUUCUCGGAUUAGGGUUUUCAAAUACCGAAUUAGGGUUUCAGAUUUCCGGAACUGAAAUUAGGGUUUCCAGAACCGAUUUCUAGGGUUUCUUAUAAAACAUAAUAAUUUUAUAACUGAACGUGGACGUUCUUAAUAUAUACUAUUAGGGUUUGACACAGAUAUAAUUUAUCUGGUCAACACUUGACCCUUAACCACAUUCUGUACACAUGAUACCGUAAUCUUGAACAUAUACACAUAUACCCUUAAUCCUGAAUAAUUCACUAAAAGAAAUUUUAAAUGCUCAAAAUUCCUUUCUGAAAACAUCAAACACAUUCACUUAUUUUCUGUCUAGGUCUAUUAUUU